GACGUAGGGCGCGAGCGUUGUCCGGAUUUAUUGGGCGUAAAGAGCUCGUAGGCGGCUUGUUGCGUCGUCCGUGAAAACCCACGGCUUAACUGUGGGCUUGCGGUCGAUACGGGCGGGCUGGAGUUCGGUAGGGGAGACUGGAAUUCCUGGUGUAGCGGUGAAAUGCGCAGAUAUCAGGAGGAACACCGGUGGCGAAGGCGGCUCUCUGGGACGGUACUGACGCUGAGGAGCGAAAGCAUGGGGAGCAAACAGG
rnacentral:rRNA from 1 species